rnacentral:rRNA from 1 species
AGUUUGAUCAUGGCUCAGGAUGAACGCUAGCGGCAGGCUUAAUACAUGCAAGUCGAGGGGCAGCAUGUCCCGCAGCAAUGCGGGAUGAUGGCGACCGGCAAACGGGUGCGGAACACGUACACAACCUUCCUUAAGUGGGGAAUAGGCCAGGGAAACUUGGGUUAAUACCCCGUAACAUAUAGAAGUGGCAUCACUUUUACAUUAUAGCUCCGGCGCUUGAAGAUGGGUGUGCGGCUGAUUAGGUAGUUGGCGGGGUAACGGCCCACCAAGCCGACGAUCAGUAACUGGUGUGAGAGCACGACCAGUCACACGGGCACUGAGACACGGGCCCGACUCCUACGGGAGGCAGCAGUAAGGAAUAUUGGUCAAUGGACGCAAGUCUGAACCAGCCAUGCCGCGUGGAGGGUGAAGGUCCUCUGGAUUGUAAACUUCUUUUAUUUGGGAAGAAACCCAUCUUUUCUUGGAUGGUUGACGGUACCAGAUGAAUAAGCACCGGCUAACUCCGUGCCAGCAGCCGCGGUAAUACGGAGGGUGCAAGCGUUAUCCGGAUUCACUGGGUUUAAAGGGUGCGUAGGUGGGCAGGUAAGUCAGUGGUGAAAUCUCCGGGCUUAACCCGGAAACUGCCAUUGAUACUAUUUGUCUUGAAUACUGUGGAGGUCGG